rnacentral:rRNA from 1 species
CGCGGCCUAUCAGCUUGUUGGUGAGGUAACGGCUCACCAAGGCUCCGACGGGUAGCUGGUCUGAGAGGACGAUCAGCCACACUGGGACUGAGACACGGCCCAGACUCCUACGGGAGGCAGCAGCAGGGAAUUUUGCACAAUGGGCGAAAGCCUGAUGCAGCGACGCCGCGUGCGGGAUGAAUGCCUUCGGGUUGUAAACCGCUUUCAGGAGGGACGAAGCGAAAGUGACGGUACCUCCAGAAGAAGCCCCGGCCAACUACGUGCCAGCAGCCGCGGUAAUACGUAGGGGGCGAACGUUGUCCGGAUUUAUUGGGCGUAAAGAGCUCGUAGGCGGCUCAGCAAGUCGGCCGUGAAAACCCGGGGCUCAACCCCGGGACGCCGGUCGAAACUGCUGUGGCUAGAGUUCGGUAGAGGAGAGUGGAAUUCCCGGUGUAGCGGUGAAAUGCGCAGGUAUCGGGAGGAACACCAGUAGCGAAGGCGGCUCUCUGGGCCGAUACCGACGCUGAGGAGCGAAAGCUAGGGGAGCAAACAGGAUUAGAUACCCUGGUAGUCCUAGCCGUAAACGUUGGGCACUAGGUGUGGCGGACUCAUUGACGUCUGCCGUGCCGCAGCUAACGCAUUAAGUGCCCCGCCUGGGGAGUACGG